rnacentral:rRNA from 1 species
CAAUGGGCGAGAGCCUGAACCAGCCAAGUAGCGUGAAGGAAGACUGCCCUAUGGGUUGUAAACUUCUUUUAUAAGGGAAUAAAGAGCGCCACGUGUGGUGUGUUGUAUGUACCUUAUGAAUAAGCAUCGGCUAAUUCCGUGCC